GGGAAUGUAGUUCAGUUGUAGAGCAUUUGCCUACCAUUAAUAAGGCCCUGGGUUUAAAUCCUAGCACCCCCC
rnacentral:tRNA from 1 species